rnacentral:rRNA from 1 species
CAGGCCUAACACAUGCAAGUCGAACGAGAGCCUUCGCGUUCUAGUGGCUCACGGGUGCGUAACGCGUGGGAAUCUGCCCCUUGGUUCGGAAUAACAGCUAGAAAUGGCUGCUAAUACCGGAUGACGACGAGAGUCCAAAGAUUUAUCGCCGAGGGAUGAGCCCGCGUUGGAUUAGGUAGUUGGUGUGGUAAAGGCGCACCAAGCCGACGAUCCAUAGCUGGUCUGAGAGGAUGAUCAGCCACACUGGGACUGAGACACGGCCCAGACUCCUACGGGAGGCAGCAGUGGGGAAUCUUAGACAAUGGGGGCAACCCUGAUCUAGCCAUGCCGCGUGAGUGAUGAAGGCCUUAGGGUUGUAAAGCUCUUUCAGCUGGGAAGAUAAUGACGGUACCAGCAGAAGAAGCCCCGGCUAACUCCGUGCCAGCAGCCGCGGUAAU